GAUGAAGAACGUAGCGAAAUGCGAUACUUGGUGUGAAUUGCAGAAUCCCGCGAAUCAUCGAGUUUUUGAACGCAAGUUGCGCCCGAAGCCAUUCGGCCGAGGGCACGUCUGCCUGGGUGUCACGCAUCGUUGCCCCCCCAAACUCCGGUUCGGGCGGGGCGGAAGUUGGCCUCCCGUGCGUGCCUGCGCGCGCGGUUAGCCCAAAAGCGAGUCCUCGGCGACGAGCGCCACGACAAUCGGUGGUUUUUUUACCCUCGUUCCUCGUCGUGCGUGCCCCGUCGCCCGAACGCGCUCUUGCGACCCUCACGCGUCGCCUCGGCGGCGCUCCCAACGCGACACCAGGUCAGGCGGGACUACCCGCUGAGUUUAAGCAUAUCAAUAAGCGGAGGA
rnacentral:misc_RNA from 1 species